GAUGAACGCUGACAGAAUGCUUAACACAUGCAAGUCAACUUGAAUUUGGGUUUUUAACUUAGGUUUGGGUGGCGGACGGGUGAGUAACGCGUAAAGAACUUGCCUCACAGCUAGGGACAACAUUUGGAAACGAAUGCUAAUACCUAAUAUUAUGAUAAUAGGGCAUCCUAUAAUUAUGAAAGCUAUAAGCGCUGUGAGAGAGCUUUGCGUCCCAUUAGCUAGUUGGAGAGGUAACGGCUCACCAAGGCGAUGAUGGGUAGCCGGCCUGAGAGGGUGAUCGGCCACAAGGGGACUGAGACACGGCCCUUACUCCUACGGGAGGCAGCAGUGGGGAAUAUUGGACAAUGGACCAAGAGUCUGAUCCAGCAAUUCUGUGUGCACGAUGAAGUUUUUCGGAAUGUAAAGUGCUUUCAGUUGGAAAGAAAGAAAUGACGGUACCAACAGAAGAAGUGACGGCUAAAUACGUG
rnacentral:rRNA from 1 species